rnacentral:rRNA from 1 species
GACGAACGCUGGCGGCGUGCUUAACACAUGCAAGUCGAACGGUAAGGCCCUUCGGGGUACACGAGUGGCGAACGGGUGAGUAACACGUGGGUGAUCUGCCCUGCACUUCGGGAUAAGCCUGGGAAACUGGGUCUAAUACCGGAUAGGACCACUGCCUGCAUGGGUGGUGGUGGAAAGCUUUUGCGGUUUGGGAUGGGCCCGCGGCCUAUCAGCUUGUUGGUGGGGGGAUGGCCUACCAAGGCGACGACGGGUAGCCGGCCUGAGAGGGUGACCGGGCACGCUGGGGCGAGGGUACGGCCCGGACUCCGACGGGAGGCAGCAGUGGGGAAUAUUGCACAAUGGGCGCAAGCCUGAUGCAGCGACGCCGCGUGAGGGAUGACGGCCUUCGGGUUGUAAACCUCUUUCAGCACCGACGAAGCGCAAGUGACGGUAGGUGCAGAAGAAGGACCGGCCAACUACGUGCCAGCCGCCGCGGUAA